GUUGUAUGGUUAAGUGACUAAGCGUACACGGUGGAUGCCUUGGCAGUCAGAGGCGAUGAAGGACGUAGUAACUUGCGAUAAGCGUAGAUGAGGCAGUAACAGCCACUUGAGUCUACGAUUUCCGAAUGGGAACCACUGGCAUAAGCCAGUAUCAUUGAGUGAAUACAUAGCUCAAUGAAGCGAACCGGGAGAACUGAAACAUCUAAGUACCCCGAGGAAAAGAAAUCAACCGAGAUUCCGAAAGUAGCGGCGAGCGAAAUUGGAUUAGCCCUUAAGCUUUACAUGUGUUAGACGAACGGUCUGGAAAGUCCGACGAUACAGGGUGAUAGUCCCGUAGUUGACGAUGCAUGUUCAGUGAAAUCGAGUAGGGCGGGACACGUGWUAUCCUGUCUGAAUAUGGGGGGACCAUCCUCCAAGGCUAAAUACUCCUGACUGACCGAUAGUGAACCAGUACCGUGAGGGAAAGGCGAAAAGAACCCCUGUGAGGGGAGUGAAAUAGAACCUGAAACCGUGUACGUACAAGCAGUAGGAGCACCUUCGUGGUGUGACUGCGUACCUUUUGUAUAAUGGGUCAGCGACUUAUAUUCAGUGGCAAGGUUAACCGUAUAGGGGAGCCGUAGCGAAAGCGAGUCUUAACUGGGCGUUCAGUCUCUGGAUAUAGACCCGAAACCGGGUGAUCUAGCCAUGGGCAGGUUGAAGGUUGAGUAACAUCAACUGGAGGACCGAACCGACUAAUGUUGAAAAAUUAGCGGAUGACUUGUGGCUAGGGGUGAAAGGCCAAUCAAACUCGGAGAUAGCUGGUUCUCCCCGAAAGCUAUUUAGGUAGCGCCUCGGACGAAUACUACUGGGGGUAGAGCACUGUUAAGGCUAGGGGGUCAUCCCGACUUACCAACCCUUUGCAAACUCCGAAUACCAGUAAGUACUAUCCGGGAGACACACGGCGGGUGCUAACGUCCGUCGUGGAGAGGGAAACAACCCAGACCGCCAGCUAAGGUCCCAAAUUACAGCUAAGUGGGAAACGAUGUGGGAAGGCUUAGACAGCUAGGAUGUUGGCUUAGAAGCAGCCAUCAUUUAAAGAAAGCGUAAUAGCUCACUAGUCGAGUCGGCCUGCGCGGAAGAUGUAACGGGGCUAAGUUGUAAACCGAAGC
rnacentral:rRNA from 1 species